CUGACACAGGUGCUGCAUGGCUGUCGUCAGCUCGUGUCGUGAGAUGUUGGGUUAAGUCCCGUAACGAGCGCAACCCUUGUCCUUAGUUACCAGCACGUUAUGGUGGGCACUCUAAGGAGACUGCCGGUGACAAACCGGAGGAAGGUGGGGGAUGACGUCAAGUCAUCAUGGCCCUUACGGCCUGGGCUACACACGUGCUACAAUGGUCGGUACAAAGGGUUGCCAAGCCGCGAGGUGGAGCUAAUCCCAUAAAACCGAUCGUAGUCCGGAUCGCAGUCUGCAACUCGACUGCGUGAAGUCGGAAUCGCUAGUAAUCGUGAAUCAGAAUGUCACGGUGAAUACGUUCCCGGGCCUU
rnacentral:rRNA from 1 species